CCUCUCGCUCUUUUCGCUCACCGGCUAACCUACCUCCCCCUUUUUAAGUUCUAGAUUGGGUCGUCAGGUGGGACAGGAUAUCCUGAAGUUACGUGCAAAAUAUUGUAGUAUUUGCCUGUGUCCAGUUUUUGAGAGGGAAAGGAUCCAUGGCUUCCACAAUCUUCUCGAAGGGGCCUCUAACUACCCACCCCACGAAGUUACCCACCACUGUUCUAAAAGAGACCUGGCUGACACUAACAUCAGAGAGCAGGAUUGGGAGUCAUCCAUCUCUCUGGAGCCCAGAGACUCGCGCUCAGAAAUCUGAGAUAUCAAACGCCACCUGCCCACUUGAUGGACCAGAAACGGAGGGCCUGGAGAGGGCAAGUGACUUGCCCGGAGGUUACCAGCAGAGAAUUUCGCAGAAAGAGCCCUACCCUCCCUGUUUGCCUAUGUCCAAGAGAAGUAUUUGCACCAGACAAGUUUCUCUCUUGUUCCUCUUCUUACUAAAUGCCAGCUAAAUCCAACAGGGGGCGUGCUGAGCCUUGGUGCACCAGCUUUAUCAACACCAACACCCAGAACUGGAGCCAAACAAUCCUUCCCAGAGGACUUCACUCCAUUUCAGUGAAAAUAAGCAGUUUCUCUUCAUUUGGAAUUGUGUUCAGCAUGCCAUAGCUUGUAUUCAGGGUUGAUGCUUUGCAUUUUCCAUUGCUCACUCUAUUUGCUGAAAGGCACAGUGUUCCAUUGUGUGCUUUCAGCUGGUGAGGCAGGGUCUGUAAAAGGGAUAGAGAGAUGGAAACAAACAACCCUUUGGCCCAGAAAAAGAACACCAGGAUGCAACCCUGUCAGCAGCUGGAAUCUCACAGCUCUCUAUCGUGUUCCUCUAUCCAUCCAUUUGUUCAGCAAAGUGUGACUAUUUACCAGGAGCCAGCUACUGGGCUGGGGACUUCAAUAAAGCCCAGUCCCUCCUGUUGAGAAGCUCAUAGUGUAGCGUGGGGAGACAGAUGCAUAAACAGUUUCUGAUACAAAGUGGAAGGUGCUCUGGGAAGGUUCCCACUACUUCCUGGGAGAAUAGGAAAGGGUUCACAGGGUACAGCCUUCCUCCCCACCCCACCCCCUACCCUUCCUGCAGUGACAUGAGGUGUGAAAGUACAGGCCAGGUGGGUGGGAGAGCAGCCAGGCAUUCUCAUCUCUUAUCGAGGUUCUGCCUUAAAUCUUACCAGCUUACAUUGAGGGAGCUCCAACAAGGUGUGAGGGGUGCAGCGUGCAGUAUGUUCCAUUCAGUUUUGGAUCGUGCUGGAAGAGAUCCUAGGGAGACAGUGUGUUUUGUUAACAAUAAAUGAUUGGGAUGAAUGAUGUGUCAUCACAUCAGAGAAACCAUCCCGAAUGGAAAACCAGUCUUCAGCAGCUGGCUUACAGCUGCCAAAGACAGCAGAGAUGUUUUUCUCCCCAGAUUUAUAAGCACUAUUCUUGCUUCUCUGACAUAUAGGAAAAGUGCCUAUAAUAUUUAUAUAUUUCUCUUCCUCAAAAAUCCCUUCCUUGCUUCUCCUUCAAACAUUAAUACAUAGGGUAGCUUUCCUGAACCAGAAAGCAAUCAGAAUUAUUUAUUAAGUGCUAAUUUAUGCAUAGUGUGGUGCUUGAAAACAUUCAAAGAACACAGGGAAUUUGCUGCGGGGUGAGAAUUUUAGUCUCAUGGAAGCAGUGAGUCUGGCUGAUAAACAGAAAAGUCAAGAAAAUAAGUGAAUGGAAAUGCCAUAAAAUCUCUUUUCCUCCUCUACCUUCAGCAUGCACUGGUCUCUUAUCCUAAAAAUAAAAAACAAACAUAAACAAACCAAAACUACAGUCUAAAUUGGUUUUACCUUCCUGCCUUCCCAAGGCUGGGUCCAUCCGUUUUCUCCUGUUCAGAUUCAUUGUUUUCUAGAACUGCUGCUACAUAUCCCUUACCCUUAAUUCAGUCCUUAAAUUUCUGCAGUUAAUCCAAAAAGGUGGCUUCCUUUCUAUUAAAAGAGCACUUAAAAAUCACCAAUAAACUCCAUAUUCUACCAAUUAUCUCUCCUUUUCUGAUGUUACAUGAACUCUCCACAGGAUUUAGCACUGCUGACCAAUUUGCCCUUGAGACUCUCCCUCUUGGCCUUUGUGAGGCUGUGUUAUUUUUAUUUACAGUAUUUCUCGUCCCGUUUGCUAACAUUUUUUUUCUUUCUUUCAUGGUCUUAAAAAAACCCAGCUUUUGAAACCGCUCAAAAAAUAAAGACAACAACCACUAGCUUUAUUGACAUAUAGCUCACAUACCAUAUAAUUCACCUAUGUAAAGUGUACAGUUCAAUGGUUUUUAGUACGAAGAGGUGUCAAUCAUAAUCGAUUUUAGAACAGUUUCAUAACCCCCAAAAUAAACAACCUGUCAAAUAAAGAACAAAUCCAGAGUUAGUAAAGAGAGACUUUAUUAGAAAGGAUUAUUGCAGGGGAAGAAAGGGACUGUGGCAGUCAGGGGAGGGCGUCUAAUGUAAUAAAGAGAAUGCUGUGACCAUAAGAUCUGCAGGUGUCUCAAGGGGUAGGCAAAAAGGGGUUUUCUUUUAUAGAGCGUAAACAAGGCUAGAAAGAACGAGGGUCAGGGAAUGGGGUGAAAGGGUGGCAUGAUGAGAGAGCAGAGCAGAGAACGCUUUUCCCUGAAGCCAGCCUAUCCUCAGGACGGGUUG